rnacentral:rRNA from 1 species
CUACGUGCCAGCAGCCGCGGUAAUACGUAGGGGGCAAGCGUUAUCCGGAUUCAUUGGGCGUAAAGCGCUCGUAGGCGGUCUGUUAGGUCGGGAGUUAAAUCCGGGGGCUCAACCCCCGUUCGCUCCCGAUACCGGCAGACUUGAGUUUGGUAGGGGAAGGUGGAAUUCCUAGUGUAGCGGUGGAAUGCGCAGAUAUUAGGAAGAACACCAGUGGCGAAGGCGGCCUUCUGGGCCAUAACUGACGCUGAGGAGCGAAAGCUAGGGGAGCAAACAGGAUUAGAUACCCUGGUAGUCCUAGCCGUAAACGAUGGACACUAGGUGUGGGGGAAUAUUUCUUCCGUGCCGCAGCUAACGCAUUAAGUGUCCCGCCUGGGGAGUACGGCCGCAAGGCUAAAACUCAAAGGAAUUGACGGGGGCCCGCACAAGCAGCGGAGCAUGUGGUUUAAUUCGAAGCAACGCGAAGAACCUUACCAGGGCU